rnacentral:lncRNA from 1 species
UUUCCUCCAUUACUCAAACAAUGAAACCCUACCAAGGUUUAUGAUUCCAAAAGCCAAAAACAAAAAGGAAUUACCGACAGAUGAACUCCAGUUGAUUUACAGAAAUUAUGAAGUGCAGGUUGCUGCCAGACAGGGUGGCAUUCCACCUGAUUAACUGCAGGGGUUACUUUUGCAUGUUUGAGCAGAUCUUGCAGCUUCUUGGUUGAGAAGUUGCUGACCCCAAUUGCGCGUGCCUGGCCUGACGCAUAUAAACCUUCCAUUGCACUCCAUGUCUCUGG